CGUCUGCGCAUGCUCAGGCGCGGUUGGUGGGGAGUCAUCUUUGCCAAGUUCACGUUUGGAGCUGAAUGCGGGACGUACUGGAGCCGAGCAAGCCUUUCGAGGCUGAGUGUGAGAAGUCUAUCUGUGUCCUAAGCUCUAGAAAGGGAGGCGUCCAUUAGACCUUAGUGUCCGUCUUGAGUGACGCGGCGCAUUUUUUAGUGUUGAGGUUGGUCCCGCCGCUAACUCAGGAGAUAUCCUGGAUUUUCGGGAAGCAACCGUUUUCAAAGAAAGGAAGAUAAGCCGGGAGCAAAGAUGUCUUAGCCACGCGAAUGACGGGCGAGGGAGCCCCUCUUGCAGAAGCUCUCAGUCCGGGUCCCAGUCGGCGUCCAGGAGUGGGAGGCGGCCCGGGGACCGAAGCGGGUCAGGGGCUCGACUGAUGGAGAAGGCGCCCCUGGUGGAGUUAGGUGCUGCUGGAGGUUUCACCCGCAGAGCCCGACGUGAUCCCUCAGCGCCCGUACCGAGAGGCGCCGCUGCUGUCCGGAAGGGAUCACCCGUCUCCGCGGCACCGAUCCCGGAGCAGGUCCUGCUCCUGGAGAAGGUCGUACUAUUAAAGAGCCUACGCGACGCGACCUUGGCCCGAUGGUAUACCGAGCGGAACCCGCCAGAUCGAGGGAGAGAUCCAGGAAAACAACAUUUGUCAUUAAAAGAGGCACACAGCGAUUGUGCGGUGGCACAUACAUGUAAUCGCAGUGGCUUUGGAGGCUGAAGCAGGAGGAUCGCAAGUUCAAAGCCAGCCUCAGCAAUUUUCCGGGACCCUAAGAAACUUAGUGAGACCCUAAAAUAAAACAUAUAAAGGACUAGGGAUGUGACUCCGUGGUUAAGUACCCCCUGGGUUCCAUCCCCGGUACAAAAGGGAAAGAAAAGGAGAAACAGGGUAGAGGGGUGGGGACCCAGUGUGUGGUUAGGCUAAAAUUGUUAUAUUGUUUCUUUUCUUUUCUUUCUUUCUUUUUUCUUUUUUUAAUGGUUGUGCUGAGGACGCAACUCAGCUAAACAUGAGCUGUACUACUGAGCUACCCCCCAGACCCUGCAGGCAGUACUUAAUGAAACUUUUUUAAUGUCUAUUAAUGACUAACAUUAGUUUACCAGCUCUUAGCUGCAUUUCUGUUUAUUUAUUUAUUAAUUUUUUUUUCAGUGCUGGGGAUCCAGGCCACAGCUUUGUACAUAGUGCGUAAGUGCUCUACCACUGAGCUACCUGCCUAUGAUUUAUAGCAUUUUUUUAAAGAGGAUACUGAGGAUUGAACCCAGGGGUGCUUUACCACUGAGCUACAUCCCUAGCCCUUUUUAUGUUUUAUUUGGAGACAGGUUCUCCCUAAAUUUCUUAGAGUCUUGCUAAUUUGCUGAGGCUAGCCUGGAACUUGUGAUACUCCUCAGCCUUCCCUGAGUUGCUGGAAUGACAGGUGUGUACCACCAUGCCCUGCUCUUAGAAGCAUUUUCAAAGCUUGACUAAAGCUACCUGGUGACUGUAGGAGGAAAGGCAUUGACUUACCUUUCUCUUUUAUUCUGUCUCUCUUUUUUUUUUUUUUUUUUACUUUUACAUCAUUAUCAUGUGAUUUAUAAACAUGAGUAAGCAUUUUAUAUUGCUGUUAUAACAAAAUGAUGCUUUGUCAUUCUUAGCUUUUGGGGGACAUGUAUGGAAUUAAUGAGUCUAUGUUUGUCUUUUGGAGACUGAAUGGAGCUGUUGGAAAUAGCAGAAAACAGUGCAGGGAAAACUUUAGAAAAAACCUACCUUGAUUUGCCAAGGAGUCUCAGAGCUAAAGAAAUAAGCUGUGGAGCAGGUGUACCAAGUAGUGAUGCCAAGAUGCAUUCUAGCUGGGGAUAUAGUUCAGUUGGUAGAGUGCUUGCCUUGCAUUCACAAGGCCCUGGGUUCAAUCCCCAGCACCAAAAAAAAAAAAAAAAGCAUUCUAUUCAAGCCUUUAGGGACUAUUGCCAGAAACACGUGAUUCACCAUUUUUAUUUGAUUUAUCUCAGAUAAAUAUAAAGAGUAAUGAAAUAUAAUUUGCUAAAGUUGGAAUAGCAAACCUGAAAAUAGCAAGCAGACUGUCACCCACAAAAAUGGGAGAGUAAGCGAUUAUUUUUUUAGUGAGCAGCCAGUCUGGAUUGUCUGGGAUUGUUAUUGAAAGUUCCACAUUUCAGGAAACCAUUCUUGGGUGCAAAAAGUUGUGGUUUUCAGCAGAGCAUGGAAAGUUGGGAGGAGUGAUAUAAAACCACAUGGUAGCCCAAAAAAUAGCCUGAAAUGGUAAAAAAUACUUUUUUUAGCGGUAAAUGAAUAUGGCAGUGGUCUGUCUUUUGCUGGAGGCUGAAUUGGCAUUUGUUACCUAGGUUUAUGGUAAUGGGUCCUCCAUUGAUGGAUUCCCUCAGAGAAACUUAAAUUAUGAAGCGUGUGCAGCUUAAGUUAUAUUUGGUGUUAUCCCUCCAGUUAACUGUUGUGCUUUUGCUCUUCUAAUUUUAACUUUGUGAUAGUAUCCUGAGUACACUGCCAGGGCCAGCAUGACCCAGACAUUACCAAAAGGUAAACAGCUACUUUAUUUUAAUGAUAGGUGAAAGACACAUAUAAUUGGCUUAGGGAGGUAAAUUAUUCAAACAGGUCAAGAAGACCAUUUGAAACUCUGUUUUUUUUUUUUUUUUUUCAAAUCGAAGUACCAAAGAGCUAGGGCAAACAGUUUUUAUUGCCUUGAUUCACCACAAUCACUUGAUAUGCUGUAGAGAGCAUGAUCAUGCAGGAGGUACAGAAAAGAAUUUGGGGAGGAGCUGGGCGUGGUGAUGCUUAUCUGUAUCCCAGCAAUUCAGGAGGCUGAGGCAGGAGAAUUUUGAGGUUGAGACUAGUCUGGGCAACUUAGUGAGACCCUGUCUCAAAAAUAAAAAGUAUUGGGGAUGUAGCUCAAUGGAGAGUGGCUGUGAGUUCAAUCCCCAAUACCUCUCCUCCCCCCGAGAAAUGUGGGUUUGGGCAUGAUGGAGAAGGGGAUAUAGAAGCACAUAUGGAGACUGAAUCUCCCAAGUCCAGGAUGAGACAUGAAAGUUCUUUUAAUCAGUGCAAAGGGUGUCCCCCAAAGACACCAAUGUUCAGUUGAAAACAGUAGCCACUGAAUUAGUUUGAGCAUACUACAUAAAUACUCAUCAUCCUAUCAUCCCCUUGAUUGCUUUAUAAAACUGAGUAAAGUUGCAUUUCCUGAUUCAGAAGUUGCAACUUAAAUGUCCUGUGGGCGAACAAAAGGGGAAAUUUUGAUAACAGGUGUGUUAGCACCUUGCAGUUCAGAGCUGAUUUGGUCAGAUCUUAUCUGUGAUCAUGCUCUCUACAGUAUAUCAAGUGGUGAAUUGUUAGUCUGUAAACAAGUCUGGAUGGCGCCUGGCAUAUUGCCAGAGGGAGUGGUUUGUGAAGUAAUGUCAGCGAGCUAUUAAGUGUGGAGAUUCCUUAUUGGUUGACUGAUGUAUCUAGUUUAUGCUAAUUAAGAUAAGCUGUGUGGAAUGUAUAAAUACCGCUCCUGUCCUACAAUAAACGGCUCCCACUCCUGCUGUAUCAACGUACACAAGUUGUUCGUCACCCCCCCGGUUAUUUUGCUGCAGCCGGACUGCGGCAGUGAAUCAUGGCAAUAAAAAACUGUUCGAGAGCUGGUA